CCAAACUGGGAGAGUGGCUCCAGCAGAUGCAGAGACAGUCGCAGACUCAACAAUCAGAGACAACCAGGACACCGUGUACGGAGAGCCACCCAAUGAUGUCACCACCCAAGCCAUUUCUAGGACAUGACAGAGCAGUCCUUCACUUUCGGCGAUGAGGACACCACACACUCUCAGGCCCUGGACGAGGAGGAAGGGGUGCUGGGGUCAUCACAGCCACUGUUACAGCUGUCUUCCUGGGAGCGUCUGUCCUCCUCGCCCUCGUCAUCAUCACACUCAGGAAGUUCACCACCUCUUGGACA